rnacentral:piRNA from 1 species
UGCUCUAGGUAGCCAUACUUUUGGGUGUA